CUGUUGGUCUCUCUUUGUAA
rnacentral:miRNA from 2 species